UCAUAGCGUCAUGUGCUACCGUGGAUGAUUGCGAAGGAAUACUCGUGAAUCACGUUUGUUAUCGAGGCUAUUGGGCGCUGUAGGGUUUUGACUUUUCACACAUAAUACUUGCAAAUAGCGGGACUUCGGCGUUUACUGUUGGUGACAGCAUAUCAAGUCACAAGUACUCACAAGGAGACCCUCAGACCUGUUAAUAAAGGAUUUUGAUGGCUCUCGAAUAUAUUGUAAGGGACCUCCCCUGUGCAUGAGGAUCAAAGGGUUUUCCUCAAUGGGCCUUAGUUUCGGAGAAAAAAUUUUGAAGUUCUACGCGCUAGAAUACUCGGUACGUAGCAGUAACUUUCGAGUCAGUGGACGUGGCGCAGCGACUGCGGUUGCAGCUAGUACGCCGUAGGACCCAAGUUCGGUUCUAAUCAUUCUUUUUUUUUAUCAAUUAGCAAGAAAUGUUCACAGCAUAUAUCGUGAUAUUCGUAAUAAGUAAGAACUGUGUUAUGAUUAUGUAGUAUUUAAUAUGUAGGUCAAUUCUAGGAUAGAAAACUGAAAUGCGAAGAAUUGGUGGAGACAAAUGGUAUUUUAUUAUUGUAUGCAAAUAUAGUUAUAGUAAUAUUAAAUAAUUCUUACAUCACAGAUUCCUCUAUAUGAAAUGAACAAUUUCAGGGUGAUACUUAUCAUAGAAACAGAAAAAACAUAAAUUCACAGAGCACCAUGCACGUCGUAUAAAAGCAUUUUCCUUACAGGCACAUGGUUGUUUUAAAAGCGAGACCGGAAAACAUAAAUCAUUAACAUUCGAAAAUAUAUUUCUUUCUGCAUACAUUGUGAUAAAUAAGAACAUAUUCGUAAUAAAUAAGAACAGUGAUAUUAU